GCCAGCUAUGCAUGUGAAAAGAGUAUUUUGCACAACAACAAAAAUGCAUGGAGGAUAAACAAUAUUAUAUCAUUACUAUACAAUCAGGUAAAAACCUUUACAUGGCACUCCCUUAAAUGCCCUCAAUAAACAUAUUUGUACAAAAGAUCAGGAUGCACACUUCAAUAGCUACAAAAAAUAAUUUGUUUAUUCAAAUGAAUGCAAUAAAACAUCCAACGAAU